rnacentral:rRNA from 1 species
UGAACGCUGGCGGUAGGCCUAACACAUGCAAGUCGAACGGCAGCACAGUAAGAGCUUGCUCUUACGGGUGGCGAGUGGCGGACGGGUGAGGAAUGCAUCGGAAUCUACUUUUUCGUGGGGGAUAACGUAGGGAAACUUACGCUAAUACCGCAUACGACCUACGGGUGAAAGCAGGGGAUCUUCGGACCUUGCGCGAUUGAAUGAGCCGAUGUCGGAUUAGCUAGUUGGCGGGGUAAAGGCCCACCAAGGCGACGAUCCGUAGCUGGUCUGAGAGGAUGAUCAGCCACACUGGAACUGAGACACGGUCCAGACUCCUACGGGAGGCAGCAGUGGGGAAUAUUGGACAAUGGGCGCAAGCCUGAUCCAGCCAUACCGCGUGGGUGAAGAAGGCCUUCGGGUUGUAAAGCCCUUUUGUUGGGAAAGAAAAGCAGCAGGUUAAUACCCCGCUGUUCUGACGGUACCCAAAGAAUAAGCACCGGCUAACUUCGUG